UACGUAGGGGGCAAGCGUUAUCCGGAUUUACUGGGUGUAAAGGGAGCGCAGACGGAACUGCAAGUCUGAUGUGAAAGCCCGGGGCUCAACCGCGGGACUGCAUCGGAUACUGUAGAUCUGGAGUGCCGGAGGGGCAAGCGGAAUUCUUGGUGUAGCGGUGAAAUGCGUAGAUAUCAAGAAGAACACCAGUGGCGAAGGCGGCUCUCUGGCCUAGAACUGACGCUGAAGCGCGAAAGCGUGGGUAGCGAACGGGAUUAGAUA
rnacentral:rRNA from 1 species